UAGGGAAUCUUCGGCAAUGGGGGGAACCCUGACCGAGCAACGCCGCGUGAGUGAAGAAGGUUUUCGGAUCGUAAAGCUCUGUUGUUAAGGAAGAACGAGUGUGAGAAUGGAAAGUUCAUACUGUGACGGUACUUAACCAGAAAGGGACGGCUAACUACGUGCCAGCAGCCGCGGUAAUACGUAGGUCCCGAGCGUUGUCCGGAUUUAUUGGGCGUAAAGCGAGCGCAGGCGGUUAGAUAAGUCUGAAGUUAAAGGCAGUGGCUCAACCAUUGUAGGCUUUGGAAACUGUUUAACUUGAGUGCAGAAGGUGAGAGUGGAAUUCCAUGUGUAGCGGUGAAAUGCGUAGAUAUAUGGAGGAACACCGGUGGCGAAAGCGGCUCUCUGGUCUGUAACUGACGCUGAGGCUCGAAAGCGUGGGGAGCGAACAGG
rnacentral:rRNA from 1 species